rnacentral:rRNA from 1 species
ACAAUUUAAAUCCUUUAACGAGGAUCAACUGGAGGGCAAGUCUGGUGCCAGCAGCCGCGGUAACUCCAGCUCCAGAAGCGUAUAUUAAAGUUGUUGCAGUUAAAAAGCUCGUAGUUGGAUCUGGGUCGCAUGGCUACGUGCCGUAGCUCGUUGGUGGGGCCUGGUUACGACCGGGUCACGCCUGCGAGUCGGUCUAGUGGUUGUGCUUCCUUUCUGCUGUGUCUGUUUACAGGUGUCAGCGUGACUGGUGGGCUCGCCUGCUGGUCUGUUGGCAUGCUUCUUGAUGCCUUUAAACGGGUGUCGGAGGCGGACAGCACGUUUACUUUGAACAAAUUUGAGUGCUCAAAGCAGGCCUUUGUGCCUGAAAAUUCUUGCAUGGAAUAAUGGAAUAGGACUUCGGUUCUAUUUUGUUGGUUUUCGGAUCCGAAGUAAUGGUUAAGAGGGACAGACGGGGGCAUUUGUAUGGCGGUGUUAGAGGUGAAAUUCUUGGAUCGCCGCCAGACAAACU